rnacentral:tRNA from 1 species
GUUGAAUUGGCAGAAUUUUUUAUAUGUAUUAAGUUUAGGAUUUAAUUAUGUGAGUUAUAAUCACAUUCAAUA